rnacentral:rRNA from 1 species
UACGGGGGGAGCAAGCGUUGUUCGGAUUUACUGGGCGUAAAGGGCGCGUAGGCGGUCAGCACAAGUCAGUUGUGAAAUCUCCGGGCUUAACUCGGAAAGGUCAACUGAUACUGUGCGACUAGAGUGCAGAAGGGGCAACUGGAAUUCUCGGUGUAGCGGUGAAAUGCGCAGAUAUCAGGAAGAACACCCGUGGCGAAGGCGGUUCUCUGGGACGGUACUGACGCUGAGACGCGAAAGCGUGGGGAGCGAACAGG